rnacentral:rRNA from 1 species
AUUGAACGCUGGCGGCAGGCCUAACCCUUGCAAGUCGAGCGGUAAAGAGAAGCUUGCUUCUCUUGAGAGCGGCGGACGGGUGAGUAAUGCCUAGGAAUCUGCCUGGUAGUGGGGGAUAACGCUCGGAAACGGACGCUAAUACCGCAUACGUCCUACGGGAGAAAGCAGGGGACCUUCGGGCCUUGCGCUAUCAAAUGACCCUAGGUCGGAUUACCUAGUUGGUGAGGUAAUGGCUCACCAAGGCGACAAUCCGUAACUGGUCUGAGAGGAUGAUCAGUCACACUGGAACUGAAACACGGUCCAAACUCCUACGGGAGGCAGCAGUGGGGAAUAUUGGACAAUGGGCGAAAGCCUGAUCCACCCAUGCCGCGUGUGUGAAGAAGGUCUUCGGAUUGUAAAGCACUUUAAGUUGGGAGGAAGGGCAGUUACCUAAUACGUAUCUGUUUUGACGUUACCGACAGAAUAAGCACCGGCUAACUCUGUG